GCAAUUAAGGGUGUCACACAUUUAUUUCGCACCAUUCGUCAUACUAUUUAGUCAUGCUCAUUAUUUAACUCAAAAUAUAAAGUAUUGCACAAUACGCAGCGGAUAGAGAUCAAAUCAAUCAUUCAAAACAUGUAACAUACUACAUGUAAACUGGUUCAACAAACAUCAACAACACAAUUAAAAUGUUCCCUCCCGAUGUUACAUCUAUCAGAGCAUGACCCACUAAGGAGACUACACUAGACUCCAAGC
rnacentral:lncRNA from 1 species